rnacentral:misc_RNA from 1 species
AAGUCGUAACAAGGUUUCCGUAGGUGAACCUGCGGAAGGAUCAUGUAAACGUUCUUUUCAAAAAAAAAGGUGGGCAACGAUAAAGGGGGGUGAUCAUAAGCUCCUUUUUUAUCAUUGCCACUUUUUUCAACCCAUCGCGAACUGGCAUAUUGUAGCAGAUGAGAGGUUGUGGGUUUUGUGGGCGACGGAAUAUAUUUUCCGUCGCGCAUGAAACACACACACCGCUCCUGCGCCUUUUUUCUAUUCUCAAACCCCUUUUUCAACAAAUUGAAUUAUGUCUGACAAUUUUUCUUUUGUCUAGCAUUCGUGCGACACAAAAUAAAAAUUUAUCAUUAUAUCUUAAUGCAAAAGAACAACUCUUAGCAACGGAUAUCUUGGUUCCC